UGGGUGCCCAGCAGCCCGCCGGUAAUUCCAGCCUUCAGCAGCAUCUAUUAAAGUUGCUGCGGUUAAAAGGCUCGCAGUUGAAUGUCUGUAUCGAGCGCAGGUCAGGUGGACGUUGGGGCGUGGAAGUACGGGCUGUUGGAUGCCCGGUGGGCUUCGUGCUCGUCGGCUCCUUCGGCUUUUCCACACACCCCCGUCCGUGACAAGCCUCCUCGCUCGGGUACAUAACGGGAAUCGGUCAAACGGAGUGUGGUCAUGGAAGUUGAGGUGCGUGGCUUUACGGUUGCGUGUCGCUUCUCUCGUGGCUGCGUCAAGCUCCAUCGGUUUCACGGUCACCUUGAGUAAAUCAGAGUGCUCAAAGCAGUCGUAGGGGCCUUGCGCCCUGUGAACAGUCUUGACGGACUGACUUGGUUUUGCAUGGCAUGUCGGAAGACGACGUCGUGUGCUGGCUCAGAGGAUAAAUCAGUGGUACAAGCCAGCCUCGACGUAAUGAUUAAAAGGGACGGUCCGAGGGCAUUGGUAUUGCGAGGCGAGAGGUGAGAGUUCUGUGACCCCCGCAAGACCUCC
rnacentral:rRNA from 1 species